CACGUUGGAACCUGCCCCAAAGUGAGGAAUAAGCCACCGAAAGGUGGUCUAAUACUUCAUAAUAUCCAUCUCGUAUGGAUUAAAGCUUUAUGCGCUUUGGGAGGGGCCUGCGUAACAUUAGCUUGUUGGUGAGGUAAAAGCUCACCAAGGCUUCGAUGUUUAACUGGUUUGAGAGGAUGACCAGUCACACUGGGACUGAGAUACGGCCCAGACUCCUACGGGAGGCAGGCAGUAAGGAAUCUUCCACAAUGGGGCAACCCUGAUGGAGCAAUACCGCGUGCAGGAUGAAGCGUUUCGGCGUGUAAACUGCUUUUAUCACCGAAGAUUAUGACUGUAGGUGAAGAAUAAGGACCGGCUAACUACGUG
rnacentral:rRNA from 1 species